UAAGCAUAUCAAUAAGCGGAGGAAAAGAAACCAACAGGGAUUGCCCUAGUAACGGCGAGUGAAGCGGCAACAGCUCAAAUUUGAAAUCUGGCGUCUUUGGCGUCCGAGUUGUAAUUUGCAGAGGGCGCUUUGGCAUUGGCAGCGGUCCAAGUUCCUUGGAACAGGACGUCACAGAGGGUGAGAAUCCCGUACGUGGUCGCUAGCCUUUACCGUGUAAAGCCCCUUCGACGAGUCGAGUUGUUUGGGAAUGCAGCUCUAAAUGGGAGGUAAAUUUCUUCUAAAGCUAAAUACUGGCCAGAGACCGAUAGCGCACAAGUAGAGUGAUCGAAAGAUGAAAAGCACUUUGGAAAGAGAGUUAAAAAGCACGUGAAAUUGUUGAAAGGGAAGCGCUUGCAGCCAGACUUGCCUGUAGUUGCUCAUCCGGGUUUUUACCCGGUGCACUCUUCUAUAGGCAGGCCAGCAUCAGUUUGGGCGGUUGGAUAAAGGUCUCUGUCAUGUACCUCUCUUCGGGGAGAACUUAUAGGGGAGACGACAUGCAACCAGCCUGGACUGAGGUCCGCGCAUCUGCUAGGAUGCUGGCGUAAUGGCUGUAAGCGGCCCGUCUUGAAACACGGACCAAGGAGUCUAACAUCUAUGCGAGUGUUUGGGUGUCAAGCCCGAGCGCGUAAUGAAAGUGAACGGAGGUGGGAACCUUUCGGGGUGCACCAUCGACCGAUCCUGAUGUCUUCGGAUGGAUUUGAGUAAGAGCAUAGCUGUUGGGACCCGAAAGAUGGUGAACUAUGCUUGAAUAGGGUGAAGCCAGAGGAAACUCUGGUGGAGGCUCGCAGCGGUUCUGACGUGCAAAUCGAUCGUCAAAUUUGGGCAUAGGGGCGAAAGACUAAUCGAACUAUCUAGUAGCUGGUUCCUGCCGAAGU
rnacentral:rRNA from 1 species